GAUAUUUACUUUGCAAUAAUUUUCAUGACAUGAGACUACAUUUUGCUGCAAUUACAAGCGAUUUGAUCUGGUUUUGUUAUAAUUUCGUUUCAAUUUUAUGCGAAUAGGUACUGAGUUUAUAAAAGUAACAUAAUAUUGUCUUGUAUAUAAUUAGUUUUUGUGUAUUUCGGAUUCCGUUUACAUCUAGGUACCUACUAUGUCGGGGUCCUACGAGAAAGCUGGCGUAUCAACGCCACGAAUAUUCAGGCGCCCGUAAAUCGUCAAAACGAGUGAAAAGCGCAUUCAGUUGGAUACAUGUGGACGACAAGUUAGUAAACCUGUAAAUUAUAACUCAAGUUGUGGCCAGCUUCAUUGUAAACAAAUUUUCAAACUUUAGUUUUCAAGUUCAAGGACAAAUGCGUGUCAGUAACAUGGAUAAAUGCUACUUCAUAUGUUUUAUUUCAGUCAAUGAACCUUUGACUGUUAUAGAAGUUUGUCGAGAUAAUAUAAUGACUUUAUCAGCAAUAUGAUGCCAAAGUUAAUACACUUUUUUAAAGAAUGUAUUCUGCCAGAAAUAGUUUUGAGACAUGUUCAAAAAAAUGCGAAAUGUAUACCUAGGUAUGAAAGCAGCUGUGUAGCGGUAGUUUCCAGGCAAUAAUGAAGAAGGAUGAGUGAAAACAACACGACAAAUGUUUUUUUAUUGUACUAUUAUAGUAGUGUGUUUAGAAUCUACAUUAUCAAUGUUUACAGUCAUGUUUUUUUUGAUGUCAGAAAACUGAAAUGGUGUACUCGUCGUAAUGAACAUAAUGUUCAUAAUGUGAUAUGAAUACAUUGACCUAUUUUAAGGUUUCUGAAAAACAAAAAGGAAAGUUGUUGCUUUUUUAUUUCCUUAUGUAGUAUAGUGAUUAUGGAUGCUUAGAUAUUCUCAAACAUUUUUCCGCUUUGAUUGCAAUCUAUUAUUCUGGUUGCCUUGUUUAUGAAUUAUAGUUUUGAAUUAUUAUUUUGAA